rnacentral:ncRNA from 1 species
GUGCGCAAGCUCAAUAGAGAAGUUGGUGUAAAUCCGACACGGUCCCGCCGCUGUAACGUGGAGUUUGUUUCAAUUAUGCCACUGGAUUGACUCUGGGAAGGUGAAACAAAUGAAGAAGCGAAGUCAGAAGAACUGCCUGUAAGA